AGGACUAUAGUUAACUAUAACAUUUAAUUUGCACUUAAAAAGUAUUGAAAUUCAAUUUGUCUUG
rnacentral:tRNA from 1 species